rnacentral:rRNA from 1 species
UACGAAGGGGGCUAGCGUUGUUCGGAUUUACUGGGCGUAAAGCGCGCGCAGGCGGCUUUGCAAGUCAGGGGUGAAAUCCCAGAGCUCAACUCUGGAAUUGCCUUUGAGACUGUGAGGCUUCGAGUACGGGAGAGGUGAGUGGAAUUCCCAGUGUAGAGGUGAAAUUCGUAGAUAUUGGGAAGAACACCGGUGGCGAAGGCGGCUCACUGGCCCGGUACUGACGCUGAGGUGCGAAAGCGUGGGGAGCAAACAGG